UUCUGCUAUUUUACUUCAGGUUUUUUCUCUAGAUACUUUAUUACCUAUAUGCUGAAUCUUUUUUGCCUAUUUGUCAUUUUUUAUUUUUUCUUUUUAUUUUUUCCUUUAUGUCUUUAUGACUAAAACAAAUUUCUCCUAUUUCUCUCAAUGCAUUGACUGCCUGUUAUUUGCCCUUGUGUUCCUUCCAGUUUAGCCCUCAUUUCUGAGAUGAUUUUCAUUUGUCCUGAAUUCUUUCCCAAGUCAUCUUUUUAUACUUAGAGCCAAGAGUAGGUUAAGUCUCAACUCUGCUACUUUUUAGGUAUGUGAUAUCAGGUUCCUCUUUGUUUUGGGUUUUUCCUGGAUCCCUGCUGGAUGACGAGGGUCGCCAGCAAGCGUGUGGUCUGCCUGAGACUUCCGUGGGGCUCUCGGCAGUUCUGUAGGCUGACCCCAGUACUGUACCCUCCCAUUUUCUUGAUGAUUGAAAUGGAGACUGGAGGACGGCCGAUGGUGAGCCACGGGGUUGGCACUGGAAUCCAGUCCAUUAGGAGGGGUAGGCCUGAAGCAUGAGGCCUGAACUCACACAAAAAGCCAGUCUUGCUCUGCAGAGGUCAGACCUGACUGUGCUCCUGAGAGGGGUUUCGGGGGUUGUGUGCAGUGGGGACAUUUUUGGAGCCCACGCCAUUUCCAUCUGGUAACAACAACCUUAUUAUUAUUUUUUUAAAGCACAUUUACCAUCUCUAUUUCACAGAGAGGGAAACUGAAGCUCAGAAAGGCUGAAUGGUUUGCUCAUGGAACACACAGCGUGCAAGCAGCAUAUGCCCACGAUCGCCAAGGCCUCAGCCGCUCCACCGGCAUGCACGGAGGCUCUUCCUGUUUCCCACGCACCUGGCUGGAGGCCUCUCAGAGUGCAAAGGACCUCAAAGGAAGGUGCCUGGCUCAGCGGGGAUGCAGGGGCUUCCUGGAGGAGAGGACUCUUGGCCAAGGCUGGAACCAUGCACAGGAGUUGGGAAGGAAGGAAAGAGGAGGGGGCUUCCAGGAGGGCAGGCUGGAGGGGGCAGAGAUUGUGGCCUCUGUGGGGUUAGGUGAGGCUGGAAUGGGGGAAAUAACAAAGAGAGGAGCUAAGAAAUGUGUUUCAUCCAAAGACAAGUGGGAGCCAUGGAGGGUUUUCAGUAGGGGAAUAAAGGGGUCAGCUGGUCUUGAGAUGGUCCCAGCAGGCAAUGACCAAGUGCAGGGAGACUGUAGGAGGCACCAUGGAAUCCAAGGGAGAGGACGGGGCCUGCAAUGGGUGGUAACCCUGGUCUGGGAGGAGGCAUGGCCCCAAGAGCUGGUUAGGAGGGGAUGUGGGGACUAAUUGCAUGUGGGGUUCAGGGAAAGUUCAGGUAGGCACUGCAUUCCUGGUGUACGUGGGGAGAAGUGACCCAGCAGAGGUGGCGGGCGGGCUUGACCACUGAGCUGAGCUGUCUGUGCUGAGCAGGCAUCUGGAUUCCAGUCGGGACUCAGGACAGAAACCAGACUGCUGGUCUGGGUUUGGGAGUCACUGGCAGGUGUGGUGAGACUGGCUGAACCUUUUGGAAUGGAUGAAUAUGCCCAAGAGAAUGUUCAGAGGGUCAAGAGAGAAACAGGCCCAGGGCAGGCUCAGGUAGUGCCAACUGUUGGGAUCUCAUCGUGCAGCUUCAGCUGCAGGAAGCUUGAAGCCCGGGGACUGAGUGGGGCAAGGGCAGUUCAGACUGAAGGAAGGAAAGUGCAUGGCCAGGGCGGGACCCAAGACCAAGAGGGACUCUACUUACCAAGGAUGGGGACUUUUCUGCUUUGCUCUCCUGUAGUAGAAACAUGGGGGAAACUGGCCGACCCUACAGAGACAAGAGUUUCCUGCCAGGGAGGGCCCAGAUGAGAGUCAGCUGUGGGGACGGAGAGCCUUGGCUGUGGGGGCUGCUUCCAAGGUCAGCAGGCAAAAGCGUUAAAGGCCUCCCGAGCCCCAGCCCUCCAGCGGCGCCUGCCCUCUUGUGAACACUCCGGUUUCUUAGGGAAGCCUCUCAUGGGCACGGGUAGUCACCGAUGCUCUGGCUUUCCUGGAACAGCCCGACUUUCAUAACAUUUUACAUUUUUCUGUAGGAUUGGCUUCAUCAGCUGUAUAACUAAAUGUGAUGCAUUUCUAUUUCUACGUAACACUUUGUACACA
rnacentral:lncRNA from 1 species